UAGUAGCGACCGGUAAAGUGUCAAGUAAUGAUACUGCGCUGACAAACGGCCUAUACUCACCACCGAAAUGAAGCUUAUGAUAAAUAAAAUACUGCUGCUUGCUGGUCACUGAUUGAAGAUCGUUCAGUGGCUACCAUUGGCCAAUCUCACCAACGGGAUAUAAUAAGAACUGAUGCAGGUUUAUAUCUAUUCGGAACAAAGUUAGUACACUUUUUAAACCGAUGUUGGAUUUUUCUCCAGAUACAGGCAACCCACUUAACUUUGGAAGUAGUGCGCUGGAUUCGUCUAAAGAUAUGUUAAACAUCCGG